AUGAAUUGUAAGGAGCAGUUUCAGUUAUAUUUCCACUUGAACUCUGAUUCUGAUUCUGAUUAACUGUUCUUGAUGACGUCGCUGCUCAGGGUGUCUGAUGUUGAUGCAGUCUGGGCACUAGUAUCUGUUGGCUUGCUGACUAUCACUGAAGAUGAAGUACUUCUCCAAAUCUUCUCUGCCUUGACCCUGUGUCUUCUGCCAUCAUUGUUCAGUGUAGUACUGCAAAGAACAGUCUCCAGGGUCUACCUCGAACAUUUGCUUCCGGACCGCCAUGUGCUACCUUUGGAUUACUGGUACAUGUGGAUUACCCUGAUACUGUGAAGAACACUUACAAUAUGAUGCUUGACUUGGG
ensembl:lncRNA